rnacentral:lncRNA from 1 species
CCCUCGGGCCGUGAGGGCUCCGGCGGGCCCGGGAGGAGGGAGCGGCUCGGUUUGGCACAGCACGGCUCGGCCCGGCCCGGCCCGGCCCGGUUCGGUUCGGCUCGGCUUGGCAUUGUGAGCCCCUCCGCGAUAAAGGUGACUGCCUGCAGGGCUGAGGGACCUGAGGGAUGAUAACGGGCGCCGGCCAGAGCCAGCUUUCUAACUUACGUUGCCGUUACUUUUAUCCCGCGUUAACAGCGCGGUGUUGAGCGUUCGUGUCUCUGGGAUAGCCCUGCAGAGGCUGUUGCACAGACCGGCAGCACCCAGCACAUUCCAACAUCUCGGUGGCUGCCGAGCCAUUUCUGUGUGGGACUAGUUCAAACUGUGUGGAGGAAAUGUAUUAUGCUUGGCUGGAAAAUCCCAAAAGUGUACAUAAGGAUGUCACCUUCGCUUCUCUGUGUGUCUGACAAGUGCCACCUCGUGAGGAGGACUGAAUUCGUCAGUAGGGACUGGAUGUUUGUGGAUGGUCCAUCUGCCUCAUUUUGCCCAAAAGAAACAGCAGUGAUUCCUUGAGCAAGAACCAAGAGGAGCUUUUUCUGUUCAAGAGGAAAUGCCCUGGGCUUGGGACAUGGACAGCAUUGGAGGACGGUAGUGUUGGGGGUGUUCUUCAAUGAAGGCUCAAGGUCUUCCUCGCAUCUGAACUUCUCAACUUUGUCUUCGGAGCAUGUGCAGUUAUGGUGUUCCUUGGUCUUUCUGGAUGGAUGGGUCGUUUCUCGAGGUAACCGGCAACAACUCGAGACUGGAGACUGGGAUCGCUGGAACCCUCCAGGCUGAUACAUCUGAAUGCCGUGUUCCAGUAACUACAUCAGGGAAAUUCAUUGUUCAAACCCAACGAAGGGAAAAGAGACUUUAUGAAUAUGUAAGACUUCGAAUGGAAAGAAAAGGCUGAUUGCUGAAAUCCCAGCCUCAGGCAAAAUAUUCCCUAUAAAAACCGCUUGUACCAGAGGGUGGUGUGUGGCAUAGGGAGACUCUUUGCUGGAGUAGUCAAACCUGUGACCCACCCAGUGCCGAUCCCAGGCUGGGCACUGUCCUUUUCUUUGUGGCUGGCUCAGACAGAAUUCCAUCGCUGUAAUAAAAUUUUUAUUUUUAUUUUUG